rnacentral:rRNA from 1 species
AUGGAGCGGUGUGUAUUAGGCAUGAAGUCGCACGUGAUCCUGGUUUCGGCUAGGUGAAAGUGGCGAAAGGGUGAGUAGUGCAUAGAUCACCAACCCCCGACUCCGGGAUAACUGGGGGAAACUUCAGCUAAUACCGGAUGGGCUCGGGAGGACUCAUGUCCUGCCGAGUAAAGGUGGCCUCUUGACAAUGCUCCCGAUUGGGGACGGGUCUAUGUCCUAUCAGCUAGUUGGUGAGGUAAUGGCCCACCAAGGCGACGACGGGUAGCCGACCUGAGAGGGUGACCGGCCACACUGGGACUGAGACACUGCCCAGACUCCUACGGGAGGCUGCAGUCGAGGAUCUUCCGCAAUGGGGGCAACCCCGACGGAGCGACGCCGCGUGCGGGAUGAAGGCCUUCGGGUUGUAAACCGCUGUCACAGGUUAAGAAAGGGUCGUGCGACAAUAUCGCCCGGCCUUGACAAAGGCUUGAGAGGAAGCCACGGCUAACUUCGUGCCAGCAGCCGCGGUAAGACGAAGGUGGCGACCGUUGUUCGGAAUCACUGGGCAUAAAGAGCACGUAGGCGGGGAGGUAAGUCGGGUGUGAAAGCCCUCGGCCCAACCGGGGAAUUGCGCCCGAAACUGCGUCCCUUGAGGGCAGGAGGGGAGCGUGGAAUUCCUGGUGGAGCGGUGAAAUGCGUUGAUAUCAGGAGGAACACCGGCGGCGAAGGCGACGCUCUGGUCUGCUUCUGACGCUGAGGUGCGAAAGCCAGGGGAGCAAACGGGAUUAGAUACCCCGGUAGUCCUGGCCGUAAACGAUGGGCACUAGGCAGGGGGGGACCCAAUGCCUCUCUGCUGCAGAAAAUUUGUUAAGUGCCCCCGCCUGGCGAGUAUAGUCGCAAGGCUG